GACGAACGCUGGCGGCGUGCUUAACACAUGCAAGUCGAACGGAAAGGCCCUGCUUUUGUGGGGUGCUCGAGUGGCGAACGGGUGAGUAACACGUGAGUAACCUGCCCUUGACUUUGGGUUAACUUCAGGAAACUGGGGCUAAUACCGGAUAGGAGCUCCUGCUGCAUGGUGGGGGUUGGAAAGUUUCGGCGGUUGGGGAUGGACUCGCGGCUUAUCAGCUUGUUGGUGGGGUAGUGGCUUACCAAGGCUUUGACGGGUAGCCGGCCUGAGAGGGUGACCGGCCACAUUGGGACUGAGAUACGGCCCAGACUCCUACGGGAGGCAGCAGUGGGGAAUAUUGCACAAUGGGCGGAAGCCUGAUGCAGCAACGCCGCGUGCGGGAUGACGGCCUUCGGGUUAUAAACCGCUUUCGCCUGUGACGAAGCGUGAGUGACGGUAAUGGGUAAAGAAGCACCGGCUAACUACGUG
rnacentral:rRNA from 1 species